UUACAUCCGGAGUUUGUGACUUGACAUUAUGUGCCACAUUUUAAAAGUAGGCUAAUGUUUUACAAUGGAGAGAAUAUGAAGUUUGAUGAUUGUACCGCACAGUUAAUUGAAAUUUUUAACCUUCAUGAAUCUCUAUAGUCUGCAAAAAAUAUUAGCACUCUUUACUGUUUUAACUUGGAAAAUAUUUUCUCUAUUUCAGAUAUCCUUUCGAUGAAGCAGCCACCAUAGCCGUAUCCACAGUUGAGGAGUUUGCCAACGACUUUAAGGAGGUUUCUUUUGUACUAUUUGCAGAUGACAUAUACAAUGUUUGGUUGGAGAAAGCGAAGGCGAUUGUUGAAAAAUAGGGUUAUUCACAGAUGCUGAAAAGCCAAGUAGUUGGAAAUAAGAGUAUGUAUAAAUUUUAUGGAAAUAGAGAACAACUGAAACACUCAGAGAUGACAGAGCUUCUCUUAAGUGACAUGAAAAUUUUAUCAGCCACUGCAUAAAGUUUAGAAGUAGAAAUAAAUUGUCUUUCAUAGUCAUCACUUAUCAGCAUAAUCUUCUGCAUAAUUGCUUUGCCAAAGACAGAAUCCUCAAGUUGGCAUGAAUAUCUCAGGAUUAUUCUGAAUUCUUGUAAAAGCUUUUGUAUCCUGCAAGCGAACAACAAUAAGUUCAGCCAUGACAGAUAUUAUAUCUAGCAAAGAUGUAUUAGCCAAAAUAAAAAAUGCAGUUUCUUAC